AUUAUUUUAUAAUUCGAACUGACUAAUAACAUUUAUAUCUCGUAAGUCUUAAACUCGAACUGGAACGAACAAUUAUUCUCUAAUCCUAACUUAAAUUCUAAUUAAAUCAACUGAACGAACUGAUAUCAGACUCACUCAAAUUCAAUUGAACGACUAAUAAUUACUCUCUUUAUUUUCACUAAAUUCUCCCGAACGCUAACAAUUAAUCUUACUCUAUUCUUUUAUUCAACUGACCCGCCAA
rnacentral:misc_RNA from 1 species